AUGCAGUCGAACGAUGAACCGGCUUCGGCCGGGGAUUAGUGGCGAACGGGUGAGUAACACGUGGGCAAUCUGCCCUUCACUCUGGGACAAGCCCUGGAAACGGGGUCUAAUACCGGAUAUGACGCGCGACCGCAUGGUCUGUGCGUGGAAAGCUCCGGCGGUGAAGGAUGAGCCCGCGGCCUAUCAGCUUGUUGGUGGGGUAAUGGCCUACCAAGGCGACGACGGGUAGCCGGCCUGAGAGGGCGACCGGCCACACUGGGACUGAGACACGGCCCAGACUCCUACGGGAGGCAGCAGUGGGGAAUAUUGCACAAUGGGCGAAAGCCUGAUGCAGCGACGCCGCGUGAGGGAUGACGGCCUUCGGGUUGUAAACCUCUUUCAGCAGGGAAGAAGCGAGAGUGACGGUACCUGCAGAAGAAGCGCCGGCUAACUACGUGCCAGCAGCCGCGGUAAUACGUAGGGCGCAAGCGUUGUCCGGAAUUAUUGGGCGUAAAGAGCUCGUAGGCGGCUUGUCACGUCGGAUGUGAAAGCCCGGGGCUUAACCCCGGGUCUGCAUUCGAUACGGGCAGGCUAGAGUUCGGUAGGGGAGAUCGGAAUUCCUGGUGUAGCGGUGAAAUGCGCAGAUAUCAGGAGGAACACCGGUGGCGAAGGCGGAUCUCUGGGCCGAUACUGACGCUGAGGAGCGAAAGCGUGGGGAGCGAACAGGAUUAGAUACCCUGGUAGUCCACGCCGUAAACGUUGGGAACUAGGUGUGGGCGACAUUCCACGUCGUCCGUGCCGCAGCUAACGCAUUAA
rnacentral:rRNA from 1 species